UGGUGAAUAUUGCACAAUGGGGGAAACCCUGAUGCAGCGACGCCGCGUGAACGAAGAAGGUAUUCGUAUCGUAAAGUUCUGUCCUAUGGGAAGAUAAUGACAGUACCAUAGAAGAAAGCUCCGGCUAAAUACGUGCCAGCAGCCGCGGUAAUACGUAUGGAGCGAGCGUUGUCCGGAAUUAUUGGGCGUAAAGGGUACGCAGGCGGUUUAAUAAGUCGAAUGUUAAAGAUCGGGGCUCAACCCCGCAAAGCAUUGGAAACUGAUAAACUUGAGUCGUGGAGAGGAAAGUGGAAUUCCUUGUGUAGUGGUGAAAUACAUAGAUAUUAGGUGGAAUACCAGUAGCGAAGGCGACUUUCUGGCCACAAACUGACGCUGAGGUACGAAAGCGUGGGGAGCAAACAAG
rnacentral:rRNA from 1 species